AGUAGCUGAAAGCAGGAUAUGCAACAUGCUAACUUGUAUAAGCAAUGUGUAUGAAAGAACAGCAGGUGUACAGGUUAGGAGGAGUGAUGACUUCUGCUUCAUCAUCUCAACUGGAAGAACAUGCUGCAAACAUGUAUCUGCUUGUUAUCACUUCCUAAGAUUGUGACUGUUAAGGAGACCUACAUCCUGUAACCUGUGGAACUCAUGGACACAAUCAUCCUAAGGAAAGUUUUUAUAGGAGAAAGCUGGAUUUGUAAAGGACUAUAGAUGGCAGAAAAACCUCCUUCAGUGUAUUAUGGAACUGCAAAUAGAAGAGUAAACACAGGUGGGAUUACAAGAGGAUAAGCAUACUUGGAGGGUAUAGAAAGAAACUGCUGACAUGCUGGAGAAAGUUCAAGAGUAUUACAGUAAACUCAAGGACAACCUAUUCUUUCUUUACUG